rnacentral:rRNA from 1 species
UACGAAGGGUGCAAGCGUUAAUCGGAAUCACUGGGCGUAAAGGGCGCGUAGGCGGCCUGAUAAGUCGGGGGUGAAAUCUUGCGGCUUAACCGCAAGGCUGCCUUCUAAACUGUCAGGCUAGAGCACAGUAGAGGCAGGUGGAAUUCCCGGUGUAGCGGUGGAAUGCGUAGAGAUCGGGAAGAACAUCAGUGGCGAAGGCGGCCUGCUGGGCUGUUGCUGACGCUGAGGCGCGACAGCGUGGGGAGCGAACAGG